GGAGUGUGACGGCGCGACCAGUGGUGGCGACAAUAAUGGUGGCAAAGGGCGGUGGGCGGCGGUGGCACGACAACAAUGGCAGUGGAGGCGCAGCGAGAAAUGAGUGAAUGAGUGGUGGUGGAGGCACAAGCUGUGGUGGAGAACUCGAGCAGUGGUGACGCGACGCAAUGGAGGAGAGGCACCACAACGAUGAAGGCGCGAUGAACAUGGCGGUGGAGACACGGCGAGGGAGGUGCGAGUAGUGGUGGAGACUAAGUAGUGGUGGUGGAGAGCAAAGUGAAGAUGAAGAAGAAAAUUGUUCGCGUAGAAAGUACUAUUAGCUUAUUAAUCUUAGAAAGAGCUACUACCUCGGCUCUUCAUGCAACUGGUGCCUAAUGGUUUCAAUAUUCAAAAUAUUUGACCAUAUAGGCCUCGGUUAGGCCCUCAC
rnacentral:lncRNA from 1 species